UGCGUAGGCGGAUUUAUAAGUCAGUGGUGAAAACCUGCAGCUUAACUGUAGAACUGCCAUUGAUACUGUUAGUCUUGAGUACGGUCAAGGUAGGCGGAAUGUGUAAUGUAGCGGUGAAAUGCUUAGAUAUUACACAGAACACCGAUUGCGAAGGCAGCUUACUGGGCCAUUACUGACGCUGAGGCACGAAAGCGUGGGGAGCGAACAGGAUUAGAUACCCUGGUAGUCC
rnacentral:rRNA from 1 species